rnacentral:rRNA from 1 species
GACGUAGGGCGCGAGCGUUGUCCGGAUUUAUUGGGCGUAAAGAGCUCGUAGGCGGCUUGUUGCGUCGACUGUGAAAACCCGCGGCUUAACCGCGGGCUUGCAGUUGAUACGGGCAGGCUAGAGUUCGGUAGGGGAGACUGGAAUUCCUGGUGUAGCGGUGAAAUGCACAGAUAUCAGGAGGAACACCGGUGGCGAAGGCGGUUCUCUGGGCCUUACCUGACGCUGAGGAGCGAAAGCGUGGGGAGCGAACAGG